CAGUAGCCACGGUAAUACGUAGGGUGCAAGCGUUAAAUGGAAUUACUGGGCGUAAAGCGUGCGCAGGCGGUUAUAUAAGACAGAUGUGAAAUCCCCGGGCUCAACCUGGGAACUGCAUUUGUGACUGUAUAGCUAGAGUACGGCAGAGGGGGAUGGAAUUCCGCGUGUAGCAGUGAAAUGCGUAGAUAUGCGGAGGAACACCGAUGGCGAAGGCAAUCCCCUGGGCCUGUACUGACGCUCAUGCACGAAAGCGUGGGGAGCAAACAGGAUUAGAUACCCCCGUAGUCCCUGUCUCUUAUAC
rnacentral:rRNA from 1 species